rnacentral:rRNA from 1 species
GAUGAACGCUGGCGGCGUGCUUAACACAUGCAAGUCGAACGAAGAAGUUUAACCUGAUUCUGCGGAUGAAGGUGCGUGUGACUGAGUGGCGGACGGGUGAGCAACGCGUGGGUAACCGGCCUCAUACAGGGGGAGAACAGAUAGAAAGGACUGCUAAUACGGCGUAAGACCACAGAGCGACAUGGCCCGGGGGGAAAAACGCAGGUGGGAUGAGCUAGACCCGCGUCUGAUUAGGUAGUUGGUGGGGUAACGGCCUGCCAAGCCAACGAGCAGGAGCCGACCUGGGAGGGUGCCCGGCCACAUUUGGGCUGAGGCCCGGCCCCAUCUCCGACGGGAGGCAGCAGUGUAGAAUAUUGCAGGCUGGGGGCUACCCUGAUGCAGCGGCGCCGCGUGAGCGAGGCAGUGUUUCGGUAUCUACAUCUCUAUCAGCCGGGGAGAGAAUGACGGUACCUGGCUAAGAAGCACCGGCUAACUACGUG